rnacentral:rRNA from 1 species
UGGGGAAUAUUGGACAAUGGGCGCAAGCCUGAUCCAGCCAUGCCGCGUGGGUGAAGAAGGCCUUCGGGUUGUAAAGCCCUUUUGUUGGGAAAGAAAUCCUGUCGAUUAAUACCCGACGGGGAUGACGGUACCCAAAGAAUAAGCACCGGCUAACUUCGUGCCAGCAGCCGCGGUAAUACGAAGGGUGCAAGCGUUACUCGGAAUUACUGGGCGUAAAGCGUGCGUAGGUGGUUCGUUAAGUCUGAUGUGAAAGCCCUGGGCUCAACCUGGGAAUUGCAUUGGAAACUGGCGGGCUAGAGUACGGUAGAGGGUAGUGGAAUUCCUGGUGUAGCAGUGAAAUGCGUAGAGAUCAGGAGGAACAUCCGUGGCGAAGGCGACUACCUGGACCAGUACUGACACUGAGGCACGAAAGCGUGGGGAGCAAACAGG